rnacentral:rRNA from 1 species
CCUACGGGAGGCAGCAGUGGGGAAUAUUGCACAAUGGGGGAAACCCUGAUGCAGCGACGCCGCGUGAAGGAAGAAGGUCUUCGGAUCGUAAAGCUCUGUCCUAAGGGAAGAAGCAUGACGGUACCUUAGGAGGAAGCCCCGGCUAACUACGUGCCAGCAGCCGCGGCAAAACGCAGGGGGCAAGCGUUAUCCGGAAUCACUGGGUGUAAAGGGUGCGUAGGCGGUAGGGCAAGUCAGAUGUGAAAGCCCGGGGCUCAACCUCGGGAUUGCAUUUGAAACUGUCUUACUAGAGUGCAGGAGAGGAAAGCGGAAUUCCUAGUGUAGCGAUGAAAUGCGUAGAUAUUAGGAAGAACACCAGUGGCGAAGGCGGCUUUCUGGACUGUAACUGACGCUGAGGCACGAAAGCGUGGGGAGCGAACAGGAUUAGAUACCCCUGUAGUC